rnacentral:rRNA from 1 species
AACGAACGCUGGCGGCGUGGAUAAGACAUGCAAGUCGAACGGGACAGUCUUGUAGCAAUAUGAGAUUGUUCAGUGGCGAACGGGUGCGUAACACGUGGGUCACAUUCCGGGAAGUGAGAAAUAGCCCAGGGAAACUUGGAUUAAUAUCUCAUGUGGUCGCAAGACUAAAGGCGCAAGCCGCUUCCUGAUUGGCCCGCGGCCUAUCAGCUUGUUGGUGAGGUAAUGGCUCACCAAGGCAGCGACGGGUAGCUGGUCUGAGAGGACGAUCAGCCAAAGUGGGACUGAGACACGGUCCAGACAGCUACGGGGCGCAGCAGUCGAGAAUCUUUAACAAUGGGGGAAACCCUGAUGGAGCGACGCCGCGUGGAGGUUAAGGUCUUCGGAUUGUAAACUCCUGUCAUGCGAGAACAAAGCCCUCACGGGUGUGAUAGUAUCGCAAGAGGAAGAGACGGCUAACUCUGUGCCAGCAGCCGCCGUAA